rnacentral:misc_RNA from 1 species
GGAGUCUAGGGAAAUGGACGAAGAGAGUUCAUUUCAAAUGCAAGUCCAGGGGAUUAGAGUUUGACUUUGUAGUGACAGUCUGAAGAAGACAAACAAGACUUAUGAGUGUAUGCUUAUCAUGAACCCUACUGGGGAUGGUUGGUGGUAGAAAAGAUGCAACGAAGAGAGAGCAAGAGAGAAGUGGUUGGUGGAUACAGUUGUAAAGAGGAACCACUGGGGAGGGUACUCUAAGCAGGCAAAAAUAGGUUGU